rnacentral:tRNA from 1 species
GUGAAUGUAAUUUUAAAAAAAUAUUUGCUUUGCAAGCAAAACAUCUAGGUUCAAUUCCUAGCUUUUACA